CCUACGGGUGGCUGCAGUGAGGAAUAUUGGUCAAUGGGCGCGAGCCUGAACCAGCCAAGUAGCGUGAAGGAUGACUGCCCUACGGGUUGUAAACUUCUUUUAUAAAGGAAUAAAGUGAGGCUCGUGCGCCUCUUUGUAUGUAUUUUAUGAAUAAGGAUAGGCUAACUCCGUGCCAGCAGCCGCGGUAAUAUGGAGGAUCCGAGCGUUAUCCGGAUUUAUUGUGUUUAAAGGGAGCGUAGAUGGGUUGUUAUGUCAGUUGUGAAAGUUUGCGGCUCAACCGUAAAAUUGCAAUUGAUACUGGCAGUCUUGAGUACAGUUGAGGUAGGCGGAAUUCGUGGUGUAGCGGUGAAAUGCUUAGAUAUCACGAAGAACUCCGAUUGCGAAGGCAGCUUACUAAACUGCCACUGACAUUGAUGCUCGAAAGUGUGGGUAUCAAACAGGAUUAGAUACCCGGGUAGUC
rnacentral:rRNA from 1 species